GAAUCAUCGAGUCUUUGAACGCAAAUGGCGCUCUCGGUUUCACCGGGAGCACGUCUGUCUGAGCAUUCUGU
rnacentral:rRNA from 2 species